ACUGCACAUAGAGCUUGGAGUUAAGGCCACUGGCUGCCUGAGGAACCCACAAAUAGUAUACUACAUGAGGGGCAAGUCUUUCACUAACACCACAAGGUCUCUGGCCCAAUGAAUGGAGUUUGAUAGUAAUUCUUGCUACAAGU